rnacentral:rRNA from 1 species
ACAGCUCAAAUUUGAAAUCUGGCUCCUUCGGGGUCCGAGUUGUAAUUUGUAGAGGGUGUUUCGGGUGCGAUGCCGGUCUAAGUUCCUUGGAACAGGACGUCGUAGAGGGUGAGAAUCCCGUAUGCGACCGGCGAUCAAGCCCGUGCGAAGCCCCUUCGACGAGUCGAGUUGUUUGGGAAUGCAGCUCAAAAUGGGUGGUAAAUUUCAUCUAAAGCUAAAUACUGGCCAGAGACCGAUAGCGGACAAGUAGAGUGAUCGAAAGAUGAAAAGCACUUUGGAAAGAGAGUCAAACAGUACGUGAAAUUGUUGAAAGGGAAGCGCUUGCAAUCAGACCGGUCCGGAGGCGAUCAGCCGCUGCUCGUCAGCGGUGCACUCGCCUGCGAUCCGGCCAGCAUCGGUUUGGGCGGCGGGAUAAAAGUCCCGGGAAUGUAGCUUCCUCCGGGGAGUCUUAUAGCCCGGGUCGCAAUGCCGCCCGCCCGGACCGAGGACCGCGCUUCGGCUAGGAUGCUGGCGUAAUGGUUGCAAGCGACCCGUCUUGAAACACGGACCAAGGAGUCUAACAUCUAUGCGAGUGUUUGGGUGUCAAACCCAGGCGCGGAAUGAAAGUGAACGGAGGUGGGAACCCGUCAGACGGCGCACCAUCGACCGAUCCAGAUGUCUUCGGAUGGAUUUGAGUAUGAGCAUAGCUGUUGGGACCCGAAAGAUGGUGAACUAUGCCCGGAUAGGGUGAAGCCAGAGGAAACUCUGGUGGAGGCUCGCAGCGGUUCUGACGUGCAAAUCGAUCGUCAAAUCUAGGCAUAGGGGCGAAAGACCAAUCGAACCAUCUAGUAGCUGGUUCCUGUCGAAGUUUCCCUCAGGAUAGCAGUAACGUUUUUCAGUUUUAUGAGGUAAAGCGAAUGAUUAGAGGCCUUGGGGCUGAAACAGCCUUAACCUAUUCUCAAACUUUAAAUAUGUAAGAAGUCCUUGUUACUUAGUUGAACGUGGACAUUUGAAUGUACCGUUACUAGUGGGCCAUUUUUGGUAAGCAGAACUGGCGAUGCGGGAUGAACCGAACGCGAGGUUAAGGUGCCGGAAUGCACGCUCAUCAGACACCACAAAAAGUGUCAAUUCAUCCAGACAGCCGGACGGUGGCCAUGGAAGUCGGAAUCCGCUAAGGAGUGUGUAACAACUCACCGGCCGAAUGAAUUGGC